AUGUGGGACAGUGGAUUUGAAAGCUAUGGCAGCUCCUCAUAGGGGAGUCGGUGAAUACAUGCAGUUCCCAAGAGGCUUUGGAUCGCGGGCAGCUUCUUAAGCAGAAAAGAAUCAGGAGCCCAAGUACAGCACAUUGAACCCCACACUGCAUCUCUGACGCUUUCUGUCACUUUGGUUGAUGAAGUGUUCAAAAUUGGCAGUGUUGAGAUUUCACAAGUCACUCUUGUGGGGAUCAUCAGACAUGCAGAGAAGGCUUCAACCAACAUUGUUUACAAAAUAGAUGACAUGACAGCUGCACCCAUGGAUGUUCGCCAGUGGGUUGACACAGAUAACACCAGCAGUGAAAACACUGUAGUUCGUCCAGAAACAUAUGUGAAAGUGGCAGGCCACCUGAGGUCUUUUCAGAACAAAAAGAGCCUGGUAGCUUUAAGAUCAUGUCCCUGGAGGAUAUGAAUGGGUUCACCAUACAUAUUCUGGAAGUGAUCAAUGCACACAUGAUACUAAGCAAAGCGAACAGCCAGCCCUCAGCAGGGAGAGCACCUAUCAGCAAUCCAGGGAAGAAUGAAGCCGGGUACUUUGGUGGGAAUAGCUUCAUGCCAGCAAAUGGCCUCACUGUGGCCCAAAACCAGGUGUUGAAUUUGAUUAAGGUUUGCCCAAGACCUGAAGGAUUGAACUUUCAGGAUCUCAAGAACCAGAUCAAAUGCAUGUCUGUAUCCUCAAUCAAGCAAGCUAUGGAUUUUCUGAGCAAUGAGGGGCACAUCUAUUCUACUGUGGAUGAUGGUCAUUUUAAAUCCACAGAUGCAGAAUAACUGGAACUAAUUGGGUACCUGAGAUAUUUUACAACUGGACCUAGCUUCACAGUCUAUUUUCUCCAGCUGUGCAUAUAUUUGGCCAGGUGGCUUCUAGAAGUCAGUUUCAUCUAUAAAAGGUCUCCACCGACAUCCUUUUGAAACUUACUGCUCUUCUGUUUUGUUUUGUUUGAAGCUCAGAAAGAGAUGGGCAAUUGACAGGGAUGCACUCAAGCUGGAAUUUCUUGAAGAAGUUAUAAAUAAG